rnacentral:rRNA from 1 species
GAUGAACGCUGGCGGCGUGCCUAAUACAUGCAAGUCGAACGCUUUGUGGUUCAACUGAUUUGAAGAGCUUGCUCAGAUAUGACGAUGGACAUUGCAAAGAGUGGCGAACGGGUGAGUAACACGUGGGAAACCUACCUCUUAGCAGGGGAUAACAUUUGGAAACAGAUGCUAAUACCGUAUAACAAUGACAACCGCAUGGUUGUUAUUUAAAAGAUGGUUCUGCUAUCACUAAGAGAUGGUCCCGCGGUGCAUUAGCUAGUUGGUAAGGUAAUGGCUUACCAAGGCGAUGAUGCAUAGCCGAGUUGAGAGACUGAUCGGCCACAAUGGGACUGAGACACGGCCCAUACUCCUACGGGAGGCAGCAGUAGGGAAUCUUCCACAAUGGGCGAAAGCCUGAUGGAGCAACGCCGCGUGUGUGAUGAAGGGUUUCGGCUCGUAAAACACUGUUGUAAGAGAAGAAUGACAUUGAGAGUAACUGUUCAAUGUGUGACGGUAUCUUACCAGAAAGGAACGGCUAAAUACGUGCCAGCAGCCGCGGUAAUACGUAUGUUCCAAGCGUUAUCCGGAUUUAUUGGGCGUAAAGCGAGCGCAGACGGUUAUUUAAGUCUGAAGUGAAAGCCCUCAGCUCAACUGAGGAAUUGCUUUGGAAACUGGAUGACUUGAGUGCAGUAGAGGAAAGUGGAACUCCAUGUGUAGCGGUGAAAUGCGUAGAUAUAUGGAAGAACACCAGUGGCGAAGGCGGCUUUCUGGACUGUAACUGACGUUGAGGCUCGAAAGUGUGGGUAGCAAACAGGAUUAGAUACCCUGGUAGUCCACACCGUAAACGAUGAGUGCUAGGUGUUUGAGGGUUUCCGCCCUUAAGUGCCGCAGCUAACGCAUUAAGCACUCCGCCUGGGGAGUACGACCGCAAGGUUGAAACUCAAAGGAAUUGACGGGGACCCGCACAAGCGGUGGAGCAUGUGGUUUAAUUCGAAGCAACGCGAAGAACCUUACCAGGUCUUGACAUCCCUUGACAACUCCAGAGAUGGAGUGUUCCCUUCGGGGACAAGGUGACAGGUGGUGCAUGGUUGUCGUCAGCUCGUGUCGUGAGAUGUUGGGUUAAGUCCCGCAACGAGCGCAACCCUUAUUACUAGUUGCCAGCAUUCAGUUGGGCACUCUAGUGAGACUGCCGGUGACAAACCGGAGGAAGGUGGGGAUGACGUCAAAUCAUCAUGCCCCUUAUGACCUGGGCUACACACGUGCUACAAUGGCGUAUACAACGAGUUGCCAACCCGCGAGGGUGAGCUAAUCUCUUAAAGUACGUCUCAGUUCGGAUUGUAGGCUGCAACUCGCCUACAUGAAGUCGGAAUCGCUAGUAAUCGCGGAUCAGCACGCCGCGGUGAAUACGUUCCCGGGUCU